UAUGUUAUGAAACUCUUACAUUCUAACUAAUACAUUUUUUUCUUUUAAGUGUAAAAACCAUCAUGUACAACUCAACAAUUUAUUGAAACAUAAACUCUGCCUGAAUAAAGAAAUAGGACAUCACCAGCACUCCCAAGACUAUCCUCUCCCUCACCUAAAGGCAUGCACUGCUGCCCAUCCUUAUAUAGAAGGCUAUCAUCGCAGAAGUAAUGACUACCAAGGUAAUUGGACCUGUCACACCUGGCAGCCUGGUUUCCAGCUUAUGGGAGAAAGGUUUGCAUUCCAGAGCUGAAGAAAUGGGUUCGUGUUCAAUGAGAUGAAGCCAUUUUGAAAAGGUUGUCCACGUAAUAUAUCUCUUGUAAUUAACCCAACUUCUGUCUUUUCC
ensembl:lincRNA